GACGAACGCUGGCGGCGUGCUUAACACAUGCAAGUCGAACGAGAAUCUAUGGAAAGAGGAUUCGUCCAAUUGAAAUAGAGGACAGUGGCGGACGGGUGAGUAACGCGUGAGGAACCUGCCUUUCAGAGGGGGACAACAGUUGGAAACGACUGCUAAUACCGCAUAACACAUAGGAGUCGCAUGGCUCUUAUGUCAAAGAUUUAUCGCUGAAAGAUGGCCUCGCGUCUGAUUAGCUAGUUGGUGAGGUAACGGCCCACCAAGGCGACGAUCAGUAGCCGGACUGAGAGGUUGAACGGCCACAUUGGGACUGAGAUACGGCCCAGACUCCUACGGGAGGCAGCAGUGGGGAAUAUUGGGCAAUGGGCGCAAGCCUGACCCAGCAACGCCGCGUGAAGGAAGAAGGCUUUCGGGUUGUAAACUUCUUUUGUCAGGGACGAGUACGAAGACGGUACCUGACGAAUAAGCCACGGCUAACUACGUGCC
rnacentral:rRNA from 1 species